UGGGGAAUAUUGCACAAUGGGCGGAAGCCUGAUGCAGCAACGCCGCGUGCGGGAUGACGGCCUUCGGGUUGUAAACCGCUUUCGCCUGUGACGAAGCGUGAGUGACGGUAAUGGGUAAAGAAGCACCGGCUAACUACGUGCCAGCAGCCGCGGUGAUACGUAGGGUGCGAGCGUUGUCCGGCUUUAUUGGGCGUAAAGGGCUCGUAGGUGGUUGAUCGCGUCGGAAGUGUAAUCUUGGGGCUUAACCCUGAGCGUGCUUUCGAUACGGGUUGACUUGAGGAAGGUAGGGGAGAAUGGAAUUCCUGGUGGAGCGGUGGAAUGCGCAGAUAUCAGGAGGAACACCAGUGGCGAAGGCGGUUCUCUGGGCCUUUCCUGACGCUGAGGAGCGAAAGCGUGGGGAGCGAACA
rnacentral:rRNA from 1 species